GUCUCUCCUUCUUCUUCUUAGUCUCUACUUCAUCUUUCAUGUUCGUAUUAAUGGAGCUCUCCAGCAAGAGCUGUUUUCAAAUCGGAUAUUGGGAAACUUGGUGCUACAAAAGGAUUUGCUGGGAAGGCUCACUGCUUGUAGUGUAGUGCAGAAAAACAGAAGGCUUGUUUGUCUAAAUUUAUGGGGAGUCUUUUUCCCCAAUUAAUUUAUGGGUCUUGUUAAUUCAUUACCUAGACUCUUUGACAGCUAAACACUCAGUUAACAAAAACCAAGCUAUCUCUGUUCUCUUUCCAUUCCGCUCCCACUUCUCUCCUAAGCUCUCAAAUACUUGAAUCUUCUCACUUCAUUUUCAUCUAAGGUCGAAAAUCAGUAGCUACUUUACCUCUAUGCCUUGCUUCUCAUCAUGUUAAGAGAACAAAUGGAGGACUUUGAGAUUUCAAACCACUGAGCUUCUCUCUAUUUUGCUU
rnacentral:lncRNA from 1 species